UGUUACAUAAAAAUAGUUUGUAAGAUUUUCUAACAGCAUAUAUGCAAAGUAUUUUGAUUUAUUUGAAAAUAAUUGAAAAUAGAUUUUUCAAGGACGGUGUCGAGGUCACGGGGUCGGUGUCGUUUUUCGAAAUUUGUUAACUUAAUAUAAUAGAAGAUGUUUCGUUUUAAAUUAAGAAAUGUUAAAAUUAUUAAGUUAAAAACAUUUGAUUUUAAUGACACUUAAAAUUAGACACAAUAUUAUAGGUUACUAACUAAAAAUUGAAAAAACAACAAUAAAUAAUAAAAAAUAAUAAUAAAAAAUUGAAAAAAUCAAAAAAUUCUAAAAAAAUUGCAAAAUAACCCUUUUUCGGGUUAAAAUUGAAAAAAGAUGUUACAUAAAAAUAGUUUGUAAGAUUUUCUAACAGCAUAUAUGCAAAGUAUUUUGAUUUAUUUGAAAAUAAUUGAAAAUAGAUUUUUCAAGGACGGUGUCGAGGUCACGGGGUCGGUGUCGUUUUUCGAAAUUUGUUAACUUAAUAUAAUAGAAGAUGUUUCGUUUUAAAUUAAGAAAUGAUAAAAUUAUUAAGUUAAAAACAUUUGAUUUUAAUGACACUUAAAAUUAGACACAAUAUUAUAGGUUACUAACUAAAAAUUGAAAAAACAACAAUAAAUAAUAAAAAAUAAUAAUAAAAAAUUGAAAAAAUCAAAAAAUUCUAAAAAAAUUGCAAAAUAACCCUUUUUCGGGUUAAAAUUGCAAAAUAACCCUUUUUCGGGUUAAAAUUGAAAAAAGAUGUUACAUUAAAAUAGUUUGUAAGAUUUUCUUACAGCAUAUAUGCAAAGUAUUUUGAUUUAUUUGAAAAUAAUUGAAAAUAGAUUUUUCAAGGACGGUGUCGAGGUCACGGGGUCGGUGUCGUUUUUCGAAAUUUGUUAACUUAAUAUAAUAGAAGAUGUUUCGUUUUAAAUUAAGAAAUGUUAAAAUUAUUAAGUUAAAAACAUUUGAUUUUAAUGACACUUAAAAUUAGACACAAUAUUAUAGGUUACUAACUAAAAAUUGAAAAAACAACAAUAAAUAAUAAAAAAUAAUAAUAAAAAAUUGAAAAAAUCAAAAAAUUCUAAAAAAAUUGCAAAAUAACCCUUUUUCGGGUUAAAAUUGAAAAAAGAUGUUACAUAAAAAUAGUUUGUAAGAUUUUCUAACAGCAUAUAUGCAAAGUAUUUUGAUUUAUUUGAAAAUAAUUGAAAAUAGAUUUUUCAAGGACGGUGUCGAGGUCACGGGGUCGGUGUCGUUUUUCGAAAUUUGUUAACUUAAUAUAAUAGAAGAUGUUUCGUUUUAAAUUAAGAAAUGAUAAAAUUAUUAAGUUAAAAACAUUUGAUUUUAAUGACACUUAAAAUUAGACACAAUAUUAUAGGUUACUAACUAAAAAUUGAAAAAACAACAAUAAAUAAUAAAAAAUAAUAAUAAAAAAUUGAAAAAAUCAAAAAAUUCUAAAAAAAUUGCAAAAUAACCCUUUUUCGGGUUAAAAUUGAAAAAAGAUGUUACAUUAAAAUAGUUUGUAAGAUUUUCUUACAGCAUAUAUGCAAAGUAUUUUGAUUUAUUUGAAAAUAAUUGAAAAUAGAUUUUUCAAGGACGGUGUCGAGGUCACGGGGUCGGUGUCGUUUUUCGAAAUUUGUUAACUUAAUAUAA